ensembl:misc_RNA Metazoa_SRP Metazoan signal recognition particle RNA
GCCAGGCGUGAUGGUGAGUGCCUGUAGUCCAGCUACUCAGGAGGCUGAAGCUGGAGGAUCGCUUGAGCCCAGGAGUUCUGGGCUGUAGUGCGCUAUGCGGAUCGGGUGUCCGCACUAAGUUCGGCAUAAAUAUGGUAACCUCCUGAGAGCAGGAGACCACCAGGUUGCCUAAGGAGGGGUGAACCGGCCCAGGUCAGAAACAGAGCAGGUCAAAACUCCUGUGCUGAUCAGUAGUGGGAUCGCGCCUGUGAACAGCCACUGCACUCCAGCCUGGGCAACAUAGCGAAAUCCUGUCUCAA